rnacentral:SRP_RNA from 1 species
GCUGGGCGUGGUGGCGGGCACCUGUAGUCCCAGCUACUUGGGAGGCUGAGACAGGAGAAUUGUUUGAACCCGGGAGAUGGAGGUUGCAGUGAGCUGAGAUCGUGCCACUGCACUCCAGCCUGGGUGACAGAGCGAGACUCUGUCUCAA